ensembl:rRNA 5S_rRNA 5S ribosomal RNA
GUCUGUGGCCAUACCCCCUGAACACACCUGUUGUCAUCUGAUCACAGACACAAAGCAGAAAAGGGUCUGAUUAGUGCUUGGGUGGGAGACCAAGGGCAAGAGAAAAAGAGAACUAGCCCCGGGUC